rnacentral:rRNA from 1 species
AGAGUUUGAUCAUGGCUCAGAACGAACGCUGGCGGCAGGCUUAACACAUGCAAGUCGAACGUGAAGCUAGAGCUUGCUCUAGUGGAAAGUGGCAGACGGGUGAGUAACGCGUGGGAAUUUACCCAGUUGUACGGAAUAACACUGGGAAACGAGUGCUAAUACCGUAUACGCCCUUCGGGGGAAAGAUUUAUCGCUAUUGGAUGAGCCCGCGUUAGAUUAGCUUGUUGGUGAGGUAAUGGCUCACCAAGGCUACGAUCCAUAGCUGGUCUGAGAGGAUGAUCA